rnacentral:lncRNA from 1 species
ACUGUGGUGUUUGGGGUGAUUUGAAUUGCAAUGUGGUGUAUCCAAUCCAUAGAGUAAAGAAAACUGAACCAGUAUCAUUAAAGCUUGAAGUGUUGAAAUAAGUGGCCUGGGACUGGCUUCCACGGUGAUAAAAGAUUCAUCUGGUAGCACCAGAGUAAAAGAAGUCUCACUAAACACUGGCCGGGCAGCUGCUGCUCGGUGUGAGCAUCCCGGGGAUGCAAGCGUGGGGGAGGCAUCCCUUUGUUUCCUGAGUCCUAGAAGCAGGUCCCCGACGAGGAACAACGAUGCCUGGACUCAGCUUCAGCCUCUGUUCUUCUACCGUUCAGAAGCCACCCUCCGGCAAGGUGACCCCGGCUGCUGGAUGGGGCAAGCCCAGGAAUUCUCGGCUUCUGACACAUGACGCAUUCAUCUUCUCCGACAGUGUUCCCAUGCACAACUUGUGGUUCGGGUUGGAAAUGCAAAGUGGAAAAAUGCAUAGCAGUAUCCCCUCCUCCAAGGCCUCAGUCUCUGUGCUCAUAUUCACUGAGACUAGUGACCCCCGACUUCCCACUCGCCGGCCCCUCCUCCUCCCCUUCCAACAUAAUAUGCUGUUUACUUAUUUAUUGUGUUCAUUUUCCGUCUCACCCAAAUCUAUUCUAGAAAAGGUUUUGUUUUGUUUUGUUAUUUUUCAGUGUUCUGUCCACUGUUGUACCCCCAGUACUUAGCUUCCCAUUUGCUACGCAGCAGACACUCAGUAGAUAUUGGUUGAGUGAAGAAAUGAUUGAGGACCAGUCAUCAUGCUUUUGUCCUAGCCUCACUGGGAACCAGCUAUACAGCUAUUGCCCUGUGUCUCAGUUUCCUUAUUGGGAAAUGGGGAUAAUAAUCUCUAAAGAAACAGAUGGAUGCAUAUAUGCAAACUAUUUAUAUGUUUGUAUAUUCCUAUCUGUAAAGUGUUUGUAUAUUCACAUAUGUAAAGUAAAAAAUGUAAAACGUUGGAUAAGUAUAAUGGAUGCACACUA